rnacentral:sRNA from 1 species
GCGGCUUAGGUGGCGGCGGCGAAGGAUGCACCCGGCAGGCUUGGCGGCGGCGGCUGCGGGGACGCCCCGGCUGCCCUCGAAGCGGAGGAUCCCUGUGUCCCAGCCGGGCAUGGCCGACCCCCACCAGCUUUUUGAUGACACAAGUUCAGCCCAGAGCCGGGGCUAUGGGGCCCAGCGGGCACCUGGUGGCCUAGGCUAUCCUGCAGCCUCUCCCACGCCCCAAGCAGCCUUCCUGGCUGACCCGGUGUCCAACAUGGCCAUGGCCUAUGGGAGCAGCCUGGCCGCGCAGGGCAAGGAGCUGGUGGAUAAGAACGUGAGUGGGCGGGGCUGGUGGGAGUGGGGGGAUGCACGGGGCCACAGGGCUUCAGACUUGAGCUCUGCCUCCCCAGAUCGACCGCUUCAUCCCCAUCACCAAGCUCAAGUAUUACUUUGCUGUGGACACCAUGUAUGUGGGCAGAAAGCUGGGCCUGCUGUUCUUCCCCUACCUACACCAGGUCAGCACCCCCAGGGGAAUGUGGGUCUGCAGUGGGCCUGUGGGGGCUCAGGGGUGGGGGCAGGUGCAUGGUGGAGCCGGGAGAUUCGCCUCGAGGGAGGAGGGCCUGUAGCAGGGUGGGAGGGGCCUGGCUCUGAGGGUCCUGCCCGUCUCCCCAUCCCCGCAGGACUGGGAGGUGCAGUACCAACAGGACACCCCGGUGGCCCCCCGCUUUGACGUCAAUGCCCCGGACCUCUACAUUCCAGGUUUCACCCUCCCCCUACCCUGCACCCUCCUCUCUCUUCCGGGCCUAUGUGGAGCGGGUGUGUGGGUGCCUGGAGGCCCAGGGCAGUUCUUCCUCUGGUGACCAGUGUAUGUGUGUCUGUCUCCCACAGCAAUGGCUUUCAUCACCUACGUUUUGGUGGCUGGUCUUGCGCUGGGGACCCAGGAUAGGUUCUCCCCAGACCUCCUGGGGCUGCAAGCGAGCUCAGCCCUGGCCUGGCUGACCCUGGAGGUGCUGGCCAUCCUGCUCAGCCUCUAUCUGGUCACUGUCAACACCGACCUCACCACCAUCGACCUGGUGGCCUUCUUGGGCUACAAAUAUGUCGGGUGAGUACCCCCGCCCUUCACGCCAGCCCCAGCCCUUGGGCCUUGCCCUCACACAGCCUCCUCUCCCUCCCCCAGGAUGAUUGGCGGGGUCCUCAUGGGCCUGCUCUUCGGGAAGAUUGGCUACUACCUGGUGCUGGGCUGGUGCUGCGUGGCCAUCUUUGUGUUCAUGGUGAGCUGGGCUCGGGGCUGGUGAGGCUGAGGCACAGGUGCCCCGGAGGCAUCCAGGCAUCCAAGCAGAGGAUGUCAGGUGUGGGGUUCAGACCAGAGACACAUUGCUGAACUGAGGAGCCCUGGAGUGGCUGCCCGGCCUGGGGGGUCAGGAGGGCUUCCUGGAAGAGGGGGUAUCCUGAGCCCUGGAAGAGGAGACGCCAGCCAGGCUGCUAGAGGCUGGGGAUCCCCAGCACACAGGCUCCAGGCUGGGCUCUCACUCUCAUUCCACUCUCCUUACAUGGGGGCCUUCCUGCCAGAAUUUCCCUGGAAGGAGAUUCUCUAGAGCCCUUCCCGCUGGAGUCAGGGGUGCUGGUGAAGAGCACUGGGGUCUGCAGGCUGGGUGGACCCCAAGCUUAGUUGGAUCCUGGGCAAAUCACUUCCUUUCUUUAAAUUCAGUGUCCCCUUUUGCCGGGCGCGGUGGCUCAUGCUUGUAAUCCCAGCACUUUGGGAGGCCGAGGCGGUCGGAUCACGAGGUCAGGCGAUCGAGACAAUCCUGGCUAACAUGGUGAAACCCCAUCUCUACUAAAAAUACAAAAAAUUAGCUGGGUGUGGUGGUGUGUGCCUGUAGUCCCAGCUACUCAGGAGGCUGAGGCAGGAGAAUCGCUUGAACCCAGGGGGUGGAGGU